AGUUAUCACCACAAAAAUGCAGCAUGAUGUGUUUUGUAUUAUUCCUAUUCCUAGGAUAAACAAAUACUGAAAUUAACUCUCCAUCAUCUUUAUAAAUUUGUUUUACAGUGCUGAAGGCUCUUUUACAUUCACAUCAUGCGAUAUGUUGGAGAAGUAGCCAACCCUCGUUCGAAAGAAGGCAGCUCUGAAUAUGAGGUCACGUGGGAGGAAAGCCUACGGCAGCAAACGCUAAAGGGAAAAAAGAAGGACAGAAAUCUACAGGCUGAAUGCAGUGAAGGUUAAUACCAAUGCUUUGGAAUUUUACACCGCAAACCAGGAAGUCACUUUUGAGAGGAGAUGUUUUUGUUUUGUUUUGCCUUUUCUGACAAAUAAGAAGGAAACAUAGCCUUGAGGGGUUUGACCAAUGAGCCCAAGACACAGGCAAAAUUAUCACAAAGGAUUUUCCAAAAUAACUUUGUCAUUGUUGCGGGAGCAGCAGAAACGUGUGUGAUCAUAUUUCAACCCCUAUGGGCUUCAAAUUAUAGUUUCUGAUUUGCAAUGUUUCUUUUUUUUUUUUUGCUGCUGCUGCCGAAAACUAUAAUGCUACAACAUCUCAUAAAAGUUUCUUCUUAAAAGUGUAAACUUACAUCAACUUCUAUUUUAAAAAUCCAGUGACAUAGGAAAUAAAGGCCUCAUCUAAUGUG